rnacentral:rRNA from 1 species
GACGAACGCUGGCGGCGUGCUUAACACAUGCCAGUCGAACGGAAAGGCCCUGCUUUUGUGGGGUGCUCGAGUGGCGAACGGGUGAGUAACACGUGAGUAACCUGCCCUUGACUUUGGGAUAACUUCAGGAAACUGGGGCUAAUACCGGAUAGGAGCUCCUGCUGCAUGGUGGGGGUUGGAAAGUUUCGGCGGUUGGGGAUGGACUCGCGGCUUAUCAGCGUGUUGGUGGGGUAGUGGCUUACCAAGGCUUUGACGGGUAGCCGGCCUGAGAGGGUGACCGGCCACAUUGGGACUGAGAUACGGCCCAGACUCCUACGGGAGGCAGCAGUGGGGAAUAUUGCACAAUGGGCGGAAGCCUGAUGCAGCAACGCCGCGUGCGGGAUGACGGCCUUCGGGUUGUAAACCGCUUUCGCCUGUGACGAAGCGUGAGUGACGGUAAUGGGUAAAGAAGCACCGGCUAACUACGUG